rnacentral:rRNA from 1 species
GCAAGUCGAGGGGUAUCAGGGGAGCUUGCUCUCGCUGACGACCGGCGCACGGGUGCGUAACGCGUAUACAAUCUACCUUUUGCUGAGGGAUAGCUUAGAGAAAUUUGGAUUAACACCUCAUAGUAUGUAUUAAUGGCAUCAUUAAUAUAUUAAAGGUUACGGCAAAAGAUGAGUAUGCGUUCUAUUAGCUAGAUGGUGUGGUAACGGCACACCAUGGCAACGAUAGAUAGGGGCCCUGAGAGGGGGAUC